AAAGUUAAAUGGCAAACCUAUUGAAAAAUAGGGACGCAAAGCCACGGGCCUAACGUUAUUACAACUAUGGUAGCCGGGUUACCAAA
rfam:Bacillus azotoformans LMG 9581 contig38, whole genome shotgun sequence.